rnacentral:lncRNA from 1 species
UUCUUUAUUUUUUUAUUAAAGAGAAAUGCUCGAUUGUUAGAUUUAACGAAGAAAAUCGGAACCCAAUACGUUAGGGCUCAAUUUCCUUGAAAAUCCUAAAUACGAGCAUUAUCUCAAUUUUGAAAAGUUUGAAAUCGAGUAAAAAAAUGAUGUGAUGCUAUAUUAAAUAAUGCAAUAGUAAAUAUCACAGUGGCAUAGAAAUAAUAUAAAUAAAUGAAUAAAUAAAAUCAAUAUACAUAAUAAAAAUAAUCACAUACAAAAU